CUUGGUCAUUUAGAGGAAGUAAAAGUCGUAACAAGGUUUCCGUAGGUGAACCUGCGGAAGGAUCACUAAAGAAUUCGCCCUUCGGGGCUCUCUUUAUUCACACACCCCUGUGCACUUUGGCCACCUCUUUGUUGAGGUGUGUCUUUUUAAAUUACCAUACCCUAUAAACACAAGUUAUUGAAUGUAAAAUCGUUAUAAACUAAUAUAACUUUCAACAACGGAUCUCUUGGUUCUCGCAUCGAUGAAGAACGCAGCGAAUUGCGAUAAGUAAUGUGAAUUGCAGAAUUCAGUGAAUCAUCGAAUCUUUGAACGCAUCUUGCGCUCUUUGGUAUUCCGAAGAGCAUGCCUGUUUGAGUGUCAUGAAACUCUCAAACAAGUCUUUUCUUUGCAAAAAGAAGAGGCGGGUUUGGAUUUGAACUCUGCCGUGUAACAAACGGCUGGUUCGAAAUGUAUUAGCUGAUCCUAGCAAAGCUUGGUUCUACUCGGCGUGAUAAUUAUCUAACGUUGAGGACAUUCUUCACAGAAUGGCCAAAAUUUGUUUCAUGGAUUGCUUCUAAUCGUCUUCACAGACAAACUAUUCAUCAAUCUGACCUCGAAUCAGGCGGGACUACCCGCUGAACUUAAGCAUAUCAAUAAGCGGAGGAAAAGAAACUAACAAGGAUUCCCCUAGUAACUGCGAGUGAAGCGGGAAAAGCUCAAAUUUAAAAUCUGGUAGCCUUUGGUUAUCCGAGUUGUAGUCUAGAGAAGCAUUUUCCGUGUCGGACCAUGUACAAGUCUCCUGGAACGGAGCGUCAUAGAGGGUGAGAAUCCCGUUCUUGACAUGGACCCCCGAUGCUAUGUGAUGUGCUCUCAAAGAGUCGAGUUGUUUGGGAUUGCAGCUCAAAAUGGGAGGUAAAUUCCUUCUAAAGCUAAAUAUUGGCGAGAGACCGAUAGCGAACAAGUACCGUGAGGGAAAGAUGAAAAGCACUUUGGAAAGAGAGUUAAACAGUACGUGAAAUUGUUAAAAGGGAAACGCUUGAAGU
rnacentral:rRNA from 1 species